UUCUAGAAUUGUUCCUGGCACAGAGUAGG
rnacentral:piRNA from 1 species